GCCGGGCGUAGUGGCGGGCGCCUGCAAUCCCAGCUACUCAGGAGGCUGAGGCAGGAGAAUCGCUUGAACCCAGGAGGCAGAGGUUGCAGUGAGCCGAGAUUGUGCCACUGCACUCCAACCUGGGCAACAGAGUGAGACUCUGCCUCAA
rnacentral:SRP_RNA from 2 species